GGUCAAGAAGAGAAGCGCAAACGGUGGAUGCCUUGGCAGUAAGAGGCGAAGAAGGACGUGGAAUCCUGCGAAAAGCUAUGGGGAGCUGGAAACGAGCGUUGAGCCAUAGAUGUCCGAAUGGGGGAACCCGGCUGCAGCGAUGCGGUCAUUUGCAUUUGAAUACAUAGGAUGCAAAGGCGAACUCGGGGAACUGAAACAUCUAAGUACCCGAAGGAAAAGAAAUCAAUAGAGAUUCUCCAAGUAGCGGCGAGCGAACGGGGAGGAGCCUGGCGUGAUUUAUUAUUGAAUUGAGUAGAACAACUUGGGAAGGUUGGCCAUAGAGGGUGAAAGCCCCGUAUACGAAGGUUUGAUGAGGAACUAGGCACGCGAGCAAGUAGGCCGGGACACGUGAAAUCCUGGUUGAAGAUGGGUGGACCAUCAUCCAAGGCUAAAUACUACUUACUGACCGAUAGUGAACCAGUACCGUGAGGGAAAGGUGAAAAGAACCCCGGAGAGGGGAGUGAAAUAGAAUCUGAAACCGUUUGCGUACAAGCAGUGGGAGCAUGGUUUAGGCUGUGUGACUGCGUACCUUUUGUAUAAUGGGUCAGCGAGUUACUUUCAGUGGCGAGGUUAACUGCAUAAGGGAGCCGUAGAGAAAUCGAGUCUGAAUAGGGCGAUAGUCGCUGGGAGUAGACCCGAAACCGGGCGAUCUAGCCAUGUGCAGGAUGAAGGUUGGGUAACACCAACUGGAGGUCCGAACCGGGUAAUGUUGAAAAAUUAUCGGAUGACGUGUGGCUAGGAGUGAAAGGCUAAUCAAGCCCGGAGAUAGCUGGUUCUCCCCGAAAGCUAUUUAGGUAGCGCCUCGUGAAUGAUUACUGGGGGUAGAGCACUGUUUCGGCUAGGGGGCUGUCAUGGCUUACCAAACCGAUGCAAACUCCGAAUACCGGCUAAUUGGAUCACGGGAGACACACGGCGGGUGCUAACGUCCGUCGUGGAGAGGGAAACAACCCAGACCGCCAGCUAAGGUCCCCAAGUACUAGUUAAGUGGGAAACGAUGUGGGAAGGCAUAGACAGCCAGGAGGUUGGCUUAGAAGCAGCCACCCUUUAAAGAAAGCGUAAUAGCUCACUGGUCGAGUCGGCCUGCGCGGAAGAUGUAACGGGGCUAAAACUAGUCACCGAAGCUGCGGAUGUGCGCGAAGGCGCACGUGGUAGGGGAGCGUUCUGUAGGCUGAUGAAGGUGCAUUGAGAGGUGUGCUGGAGGUAUCAGAAGUGCGAAUGCUGACAUGAGUAACGAUAAUGUGGGUGAAAAGCCCACACGCCGGAAGUCCCAGGUUUCCUGCACGACGUUAAUCGGAGCAGGGUGAGUCGGCCCCUAAGGCGAGGCUGAAGAGCGUAGUCGAUGGGAACCAGGUUAAUAUUCCUGGACUUUUUAUAAGUGGUGAAGUGGGGACGAAGAAGGCUAGGUGAGCCAGGCGUUGGUU
rnacentral:rRNA from 1 species